rnacentral:piRNA from 1 species
UCGACGCUUUAAUAACAUAUU